GAUGAAGAACGUAGCGAAAUGCGAUAAGUAAUGUGAAUUGCAGAAUUCAGUGAAUCAUCGAAUCUUUGAACGCACCUUGCGCCCUUUGGCUAUUCCGAAGGGCAUGCCUGUUUGAGUAUCAUGAACACCUCAACUCUCAUGGUUUGCCAUGAUGAGCUUGGACUUUGGGGGUCUUGCCGGCCUAUGGGUCGGCUCCUCUCAAAUUAAUCAGCUUGCCAGUGUUUGGUGGCAUCACAGGUGUGAUAACUAUCUACGCUUGUGGUUUUCCAUCAGGUAACCUUCAGUGAUGGAGGUUCGCUGGGGCUCAUAAAUGUCUCUCCUCAGUGAGGACAGCCCUUUGAAUGUUUGAUCUCAAAUCAGGUAGGACUACCCGCUGAACUUAAGCAUAUCAAUAAGCGGAGGA
rnacentral:misc_RNA from 1 species